GUUUUGGAAUUGGUUUUUAUUGAGUUUGACGGUUGAAAUAUUAAAAAUGAAGUCAGAAACGAAGGAGCACGCGAAUCGAAGAAAUGCUUCACGCAAAUGUAACCGAUAACUGGCUGAUCGCUCCUCCAAGGCCCGAUAUCAGAUCAAAAUGAGGCCAAUGAGGGAAUAUUAUAUAGCCAGCCAGCGGAACCAGGACAAAGGCCGGGAAAAAAUGCCCGCUAUCUUUCUACACAAUAUUUCUUCCAUCCAGCCUCUAAAAGCAUUUAAGGGCGAAGGUAUUUCCAAAUAAAUAUUCCGUGGCCUGCUCAAACUGAAAUAGAGUAAUAAAGCUCUUGUGUAAAGAUUUCUUCUCCUAUCAACAGGUCCUGGUUAAAUUGGAGUCUGAGAAGUGCCAGUCACAGCGCAGCUGCACCACAAAUUUAAAUUUUUAAACUUAAACAGAGUGAAAAUAUUUGGCCCAAACUGUCGUGGCCAAGUUAAACUGGUUCAAAGUGACAGAACCGGACCCAAAGACUUCUGGCAAUUCUCCGGAGGAAGUGUCCCAAACCAAUCCGAGACACUUGUAAGGGAAGCACAAGUUGCAAGGCGGAGACGGCAUGUACUUUGAGGCGGACAAAGUCGCAAUGCACAGCAGAACGCUGGGAGUUAGAGCUGGUAAAACAUCGAUAGCCGGCUCCGGCGAUAGUUUUGUCGAAGUUGCCACUACUAUCGAUACUACCGCUUGUUUGUUUUUGCACAAAAAUACCAAAAAUCGUACGAAAGAAUUAACUAUUCUGCUGAACGAUACCAUCGAUGUUUCCCCAAUUUAAAAACCUUCGAUAGUAUUGAUAUCGAUCAUUUUACCAACUCUACCAAAGAGAGACAAAAUCAUAAUUACAAAAUAAUAUAAAAUAAAUUAUAAUACAUCUAUCUAUCCCUCUUCAUUUCAAUAGCAGCAUCAGCAAUAAACAUAAACUAACGACAAUAAAUUAAUAUUCAAAACAAAAGUUUAACACAAGUUAGGUUAAGUUCAAGUGAGCUUUAAAAGCUCAUUCUCGAAUCCUCAAAUAGCUUUUUAGUUCAACACUCGCAUAGAGCUUCCAAAGAGCUUUUACGCGCCCUAAAAGCACA